rnacentral:rRNA from 1 species
AUUGAACGCUGGCGGCAUGCCUUACACAUGCAAGUCGAACGGUAACAGGUCUUCGGAUGCUGACGAGUGGCGAACGGGUGAGUAAUACAUCGGAACGUGCCUAGUAGUGGGGGAUAACUACUCGAAAGAGUGGCUAAUACCGCAUGAGAGCUACGGAUGAAAGCAGGGGAUAGCAAGACCUUGUGCUACUAGAGCGGCCCAUGGCAGAUUAGGUAGUUGGUGGGAUAAAAGCUUACCAAGACGACGACCUGUAGCUGAUCUGAAAGGACGAUCAGCCACACUGGGACUGAGACACGGCCCAGACUCCUACGGGAGGCAGCAGUGGGGAAUUUUGGACAAUGGGCGAAAGCCUGAUCCAGCAAUGCCGCGUGCAGGAUGAAGGCCUUCGGGUUGUAAACUGCUUUUUUACGGAACGAAAAGCCCCGGGUUAAUACCCUGGGGUCAUGACGGUACCGUAAGAAUAAGCACCGGCCAACUACGUGCCAGCCGCCGCCGUAA